AGAGUUUGAUCCUGGCUCAGAUUGAACGCUGGCGGCACGCCUAACACAUGCAAGUCGAACGGUAACAGAUGGUUUGAAGCUUCGGUGGAAGACCAUGCUGACGAGUGGCGGACGGGUGAGUAAUGCAUAGGGAUCUGUCAUAUAGACUGGGACAACCUUAGGAAACUGAGGCUAAUACCAGAUGAACUUUAAGGAGCAAAGUGGGCUUUCGGGCUCACGCUGAAUGAUGAACCUAUGUUGGAUUAGCUUGUCGGUAGGGUAAAAGCCUACCAAGGCGACGAUCCAUAGCUGGUUUGAGAGGAUGACCAGCCACACUGGGACUGAGACACGGCCCAGACUCUUACGGGAGGCAGCAGUGGGGAAUCUUGGACAAUGGGGGCAACCCUGAUCCAGCGAUGCCGCGUGUGUGAAGAAGGCCUUAGGGUUGUAAAGCACUUUCAGUUGUGAGGAGAUUGCACUUGUGAAUAAUGAGUGCAUGAGACGUUAGCAACAGAAGAAGCACCGGCUAACUCUGUGCCAGCAGCCGCGGUAAUACAGAGGGUGCAAGCGUUAAUCGGAAUGACUGGGCGUAAAGGGCACGUAGGCGGCCCUAGAAGUUAGAUGUGAAAUAUCCGGGCUCAACCUGGAGGCUGCAUCUAAAACUCUAGAGCUAGAGUACAGAAGAGGUAAGUGGAAUUUCCGGUGUAGCGGUGAAAUGCGUAGAUACCGGAAAGAACAUCAGUGGCGAAGGCGACUUACUGGCCUGUAACUGACGCUGAAGAGCGAAAGCGUGGGUAGCGAACAGGAUUAGAUACCCUGGUAGUCCACGCUGUAAACGAUGAAAACUAGCUGUUUGGUGCCUAGAGCAUUGAGUAGCGAAGCUAACGCGAUAAGUUUUCCGCCUGGGGAGUACGGCCGCAAGGCUAAAACUCAAAGGAAUUGACGGGGGCCCGCACAAGCGGUGGAGCAUGUGGUUUAAUUCGAUGCAACGCGAAGAACCUUACCUACUUUUGACAUCUACCGAAGCCUAUAGAGAUUUAGGUGUGCCCGAAAGGGAACGGUAAGACAGGUGCUGCAUGGCUGUCGUCAGCUCGUGUUGUGAGAUGUUGGGUUAAGUCCCGUAACGAGCGCAACCCUUAUUCUUAGUUACCAGCACGUAGAGGUGGGAACUCUAAGGAGACUGCCGGUGAUAAACCGGAGGAAGGUGGGGACGACGUCAAGUCAUCAUGGCCUUUAUAAGUAGGGCAACACACGUGCUACAAUGGGUGCUACAGAGGGAGGCGAAGCCGCGAGGUGGAGCGGAACCCUAGAAAGGCAUUCGUAGUCCGGAUUGUAGUCUGCAACUCGACUACAUGAAGUUGGAAUCGCUAGUAAUCGCGGAUCAGCAUGUCGCGGUGAAUACGUUCCCGGGCCUUGUACACACCGCCCGUCACACCAUGGAAGUGUAUUGUACCAGAAGGAAGUAGUUUAACCGUAAGGGGAACGCUUACCACGGUAUGAUGCAUGACUGGGGUGAAGUCGUAACAAGGUA
rnacentral:rRNA from 1 species